rnacentral:misc_RNA from 1 species
AACGCAAAUUGCACUCUCCGGUCUUCCGUAGAGUAUGCCUGUUUGAGGGUCGGUAAAAUGAAAUAUCGAUUUGUUGCUUAUUUUGCAACAUUUCGGAGUUGGGUUAACUUGAUCCUAAGUGACCUAAAAUUCAUUACUCGGUAUGAUUAACGUUCUUAAUGAUUUCGUUUUGAGUGCCGAAUUUUUUAUUAGACGUGACUAUUUAACAUAGCAUCACGUCUAUAAUUUUUUGAUUUUCGACCUCAAAUCAGGUAAGAUUACCCGCUGAACUUAA